rnacentral:rRNA from 1 species
GAUGAACGCUGGCGGCGUGCUUAACACAUGCAAGUCGAACGAUGAAGCCCAGCUUGCUGGGUGGAUUAGUGGCGAACGGGUGAGUAACACGUGAGUAACCUGCCCUUGACUCUGGGAUAAGCGCUGGAAACGGCGUCUAAUACCGGAUACGAGCUUCCACCGCAUGGUGAGUUGCUGGAAAGAAUUUCGGUCAAGGAUGGACUCGUGGCCUAUCAGGUAGUUGGUGAGGUAACGGCUCACCAAGCCGACGACGGGUAGCCGGCCUGAGAGGGUGACCGGCCACACUGGGACUGAGACACGGCCCAGACUCCUACGGGAGGCAGCAGUGGGGAAUAUUGCACAAUGGGCGCAAGCCUGAUGCAGCAACGCCGCGUGAGGGACGAAGGCCUUCGGGUCGUAAACCUCUUUUAGCAGGGAAGAAGCGAAAGUGACGGUACCUGCAGAAAAAGCACCGGCUAACUACGUG